rnacentral:lncRNA from 1 species
GGCUCAGUUAGAAAUGUUGAAAGACAGCUCCAGAAAUCAUUUCUCAGCAGCAGGACCACAUGCAUAGCAGGAGCAGCCAGACAUUGCUGCGGAGGGAGUCUCAACGUUUUCCUGUUUUGUUGUGGAGAGGGAGAGGCAAGAGCGAUAGGAGUCUGAAGCCCUGGAAAAGGGCAGGCUGGGGAAGGAGAGGGGCCCAGGAGUGAGGAAAGUUGUUCUUUCUUGGCCUUAGCCCUGUUUGUCUGAGAGAAACCUUCCUCAGGUGGAAGAGUCAGACUGGGACCAGAGAGAAAACAAGGCUCAGGACCUUGUGGUAGAGAAGGAGGAACUCUGAAGAGAGGAGAGACAGGAAAAGGCCCUGGACAACGGGGUCCCUGGAUAGAGGUUUCAGUCUAGUGUAAAGAAGUGGCCAAUCUGCUCAAGCUAGCCUUUACACAGAUCCCAAGUAGUGUCCCUCCCAUGAACAGGUUACAGGGACUGUGUCAGGAGGGGACCCAUUUCUGGUGCUCAAAGCUAAGCCCUAAAGGUACAGAAAGGGGUCCCGGUAAGCGGGGUGAGGCCUUUUAACCAUUAACCCAGCUGGUUGAAAUCUGCCAUGCGGAGCCUCCAGGCUCUAUCGAUUAUUUUAAAAGCACAGCCACUGUUAACUGGUGGCUGCCCAGAAACCAGGGAGAGGCACAGAAGUAGAGGUGGGGAGAAGCAGGCAGGGAGGAAAAUGGGAGCCCAGCCAGGAGUGGGAGCCGGAGAGGAGGUCUGAGGUAGGAUUCACGGCUUGGCCAUCAAUGUAGGGGAGGCUUUGGGGGUGAUCAGAAAACCUAAGCUGGCAUUGGAAUCAGCCAGCACAGCCCAUGGGCACUGCUGAGCCCUGAAGCCAGGAAAGGGCCUGGCAGAUGGGACAAAACAAGCUCAUGACCAUGGUGACCUUCGCAAGGUGACUAGGUCAGAGCUUUGCUGACUUCACUGAGAAAGGAAGGGAAGGCCACUGGGAAAGCUGAGGUGCAGGGAGAGAGAGGGCAGAGAGAGUCCAUGACAGGCUGCUGGGUUUUCCUGAGGACAGGGCCCUUUCCCUGAUCCUCCUAUACAGCAAAAACAUCACGGUCUGGUGUGGCUGAGGGCAGGGUCAGGCCAUCAGAGUCUGACUGCACCUGGCCUGCUAUGUAUGCACUCUGCUUCAUAGUUAGUUUUACAAAGCUAAUUUCAUUUGUGAGGUGGCUAAAUGGGGAGGUGAGGAACCCUCAGACUAAAGCUGGCUUCUGGAGAAGAUCAGGUUGAAGGAUGCUUGUGUGAUAAAGAAACAGGGUUGCUAUAACUUGGAUCUAAACUGUACCCCAACGGACCAUGUGUUUUCAGUGUGGUGCUAGUGGGAGGAAGUCAGGUAACUGGGGGUAUACUCUAGGAGGAGAUAUUAGGACUCUGGCUCCUUCCUCUUCCUCUGCUUCUUGGCUGCGGUGGCAGGUCCCCUUUGUCACACGACGUACUAUGUUGACACAUACCAAAGCAAUGUGGCCUAGUGACCACAGACUGAAACAUCUGAAACCCUAAGCUAUGUAGUUGAGGUGGGGAGGAAGGGGCAGGCACACGGUGGGUGGCAUGUGCCUCAGCAUCCUGGAGGUUGGGGAAGAAUAAAGGAUCAAAGUCACUCUCAGUUUCAAAGUGAGCUCAAGAGCCAUUUUGGGUGACAGGAGACCCUUCUUU